GGGCUCGUGGUGUAGCGGUUAACAUGCUUCCCUGUCACGGAAGAGAUCGUCGGUUCGAAUCCGAUCGGGCUCGC
rnacentral:tRNA from 1 species